UACGUAGGGGGCAAGCGUUGUCCGGAAUCAUUGGGCGUAAAGCGCGUGUAGGCGGCUCGAUAAGUCUGCUGUGAAAGUCCAGGGCUCAACCCUGGAAUGCCAGUGGAAACUGUCGAGCUAGAGUCCGGAAGAGGCGAGUGGAAUUCCUGGUGUAGCGGUGAAAUGCGCAGAUAUCAGGAGGAACACCAAUGGCGAAGGCAGCUCGCUGGGACGGUACUGACGCUGAGACGCGAAAGCGUGGGGAGCAAACAGG
rnacentral:rRNA from 1 species